GACGAACGCUGGCGGCGUGCUUAACACAUGCAAGUCGAACGGAAAGGCCCUGCUUGCAGGGUACUCGAGUGGCGAACGGGUGAGUAACACGUGGGUGAUCUGCCCUGCACUUCGGGAUAAGCCUGGGAAACUGGGUCUAAUACCGGAUAGGAGCCAUUUUUAGUGUGAUGGUUGGAAAGUUUUUUCGGUGUAGGAUGAGCUCGCGGCCUAUCAGCUUGUUGGUGGGGUAAUGGCCUACCAAGGCGGCGACGGGUAGCCGGCCUGAGAGGGUGGACGGCCACAUUGUGACUGAGAUACGGCCCAGACUCCUACGGGAGGCAGCAGUGGGGAAUAUUGCUCAAUGGGCGCAAGCCUGAUGCAGCGACGCCGCGUGGGGGAUGACGGCCUUCGGGUUGUAAACUCCUUUCGCUAGGGACGAAGCUUUUUGUGACGGUACCUAGAUAAGAAGCACCGGCUAACUACGUG
rnacentral:rRNA from 1 species